rnacentral:lncRNA from 1 species
GGGGGGGCAAAAAGGGAAGGGGGGGGGGCAUUAGAAAAGUUGUCAGGAAGAAAAAAUCCUUAAAUCGUCCCAAAAAAUCAUCCUGUGGCCGCUGCCCAAAAAAGGAGGGGGGGGGCUCGGUGCCACCCCCCCCACCCCACAAGGUCCAGGAGGGGGGGAUGUGGCACUGGUGCCACCCCCCACCCCCUCACCCCCCCCAUGAGGGGGUGUUGGGUGGCAGUUGUCCCCCCAAAAACCAGUAUCGGUGCUGGGGGGUGACAGUCCCCAAGGUGGGUGUUGGUUUUGGGGUGAAAGUCCCCAAAAUGGGCACCGGUACCAAGGUGGCAGUGCCCAAGGUGGUGUUUUGGGGUGAAAGUCCCCAAAAUGGGCACCGGUGCCAAGGUGGCAGUCCCCAAAGUGGGGGUUUGGGGUGAAAGUCCCCAAAAUGGGCACCAGUGCCAAGCUGGCAGUGCCCAAGGUGGUGGUUUUGGGGUGAAAGUCCCCAAAAUGAGCACCAGUGCCAAGGUGGCAGUGCCCAAGGUGAUGGUUUGGGGUGGAAGUCCCCAAAACGGGCACCAGUGCCAAGGUGGCAGUGCCCAAGGUGGGGGUUUGGGGUGAAAGUCCCCAAAAUGAGCACCAGUGCCAGGGUGGCAGUGCCCAAGGUGGUGGUUUGGGGUGAAAGGCCCCAAAAUGGGCACCGAUGCCAGGGUGGCAGUGCCCAAGAUGGUGGUUUGGGGUGAAAGUCCCCAAAAUGGGUACUGGUGCCAAGGUGGCAGUGCCCAAGGUGUUGGUUUUGGGGUGGAAGUCCCCAAAACGGGCACCAGUGCCAAGGUGGCAGUCCUGUCCCCAAAACCAGUUGGCAGUGGUCCCCAAGACCCCAAGACCAAGUGGCAGUUCCCAAAAGGGGUGCCAGUGCCGGGGUGGCAGUCCUGUCCCCGAGGUGGGCACCAGUUCUGCGGUGAAAGUCCCCAAAAUGGGCACCAGUGCCAGGGUGGCAGUGCCCAAGGUGGUGGUUUGGGGUGGAAGUCCCCAAAAUGGGUACCGGUGCCAAGGUGGCAGCCCUGUCCCCAAGGUGGGCACCAGUGCUGAGGUGGCAGUCUCAAAAGGUGGGCACCAGUGCCAGGGUGACAUUCCUGUCCCCAAAACCAGUGCCAG